rnacentral:rRNA from 1 species
CGGGACGGGUGAGUAGCGCGUGGGUAACCUGCCUCAUACAGGGGGAUAACAGUUAGAAAUGGCUGCUAAUACCGCAUAAGACCACAGUACUGCAUGGUACAGUGGUAAAAACUCCGGUGGUAUGAGAUGGACCCGCGUCUGAUUAGGUAGUUGGUGAGGUAACGGCCCACCAAGCCGACGAUCAGUAGCCGACCUGAGAGGGUGACCGGCCACAUUGGGACUGAGACACGGCCCAG